GAUGAAGAACGCAGCGAAAUGCGAUACGUAAUGUGAAUUGCAGAAUUCAGUGAAUCAUCGAAUCUUUGAACGCAUAUUGCGCUCUUUGGUAUUCCGAAGAGCAUGCUUGUUUGAGUAUCAGUAAACACCUCAAAGCUUUUGGAUUUUUUAAUCGAAAAGCUUUGGACUUGAGCAAUCCCAACACCAAUCUUUUUGAGAUCGGUGGCGGGUUGCUCGAAAUGCAGGUGCAGCUGGACAUUCUCCUGAGCUAAAAGCAUAUUCAUUUAGUCCCGUCAAACGGAUUAUUACUGUUGCUGCAGCUAACAUAAAGGGAGUUUGACCGUAUUGGCUGACUGAUGCAGGAUUUCACAAGGGUCGGCAACGAUUCUUGUUAAACUCGAUCUCAAAUCAAGUAAGACUACCCGCUGAACUUAAGCAUAUCAAUAAGCGGAGGA
rnacentral:misc_RNA from 1 species